UGAUGUUUUUGCUCAGGUUCAGUUCAGUCAGUCGUGAGUGUGGAGCAGAAAGAGCUGAGGAGAGAGCUGAGCAACAUGUGGAGGUGAGACAACAAUCAGAUAGGCUCAGUUUCUCUAAAU